AGUUAGGGGAGGUUUCCCUGAUCUGCAGGAAUCAGCGUGGACGGCAGAGCCUCCCUGACAGGAGAGGGAAUAGUUAUGGAAGGACCUGAGAUGAGUGGAGGCGAGUGUGGAGAGGCUAUGCAGGCCCAGACUCUGGGACCCCGUAGGCCAUGGGAAGAACUUCGAUCUUCAGUCCAGGAGCCCUGGGAACGGAAUAUUGUUGUUUGACUUUUGCGAUGAUCAGUUUCACAUAUCCACUUGGCCAGUCGCUGGUACCCGGUUAUUCCAUCAAACACUAAAUCAGAUUAUCCUGGGUGAGACUGAUUCAAUCAGCUGAAAGACCUCAGGAGCGGAACUGAGGCUUCCCUGAGAAAACAUAAAUUCUGCCUAUGGACAGCAAUUUCAGUUCACCCCUAAAAUCCCACCCUCCUCUUUCUGAUGGCCUGUGCUGUGGACUUCCGAUGUGCCUUGCCAGCGCCCACAAUCAUGUGCAGCAAGUUGCCUUUUUAAAAUGUGCACUUUGGCCGGGUGUGGCAGCUCACUCUUGUAAUCCUAGCACUUCGGGAGGCCGAAGUGGGAGAACUGCUUGAGGCCAGGAGUUCGAGACCAGCCUGGGCAACAUCGUGAGACCACAUCUGUACAACAAAUAAAAUUUAAAAAAAUAUUAGCCAGGCAUGGUGGUGCAUGCCUAUAGUCCCAGCUACUUGGGAGGCUGAGGCGGGAGGAUCACUUGAGUUCAGGAGGUUGAAGCUUCAGUGAGCUGUGAUCAUGCCAAUGCAUUCCAGCCUGGGCAACAUACAAGAUCCUGUCUCAGAAAAACAAAUACAACAUACACCUUCUCCUCUGUUGUCUCUGUCAUAGGAACUAACCGUGCUGUACUCUGUGCUGGUUAUGGGUCUCACUCUUUAUUUCCUUUCCCUCCAGCCAUGCAAAGCCUUUUGUGCUAUUCUGUCCAAGUUGCAGUCAGCAACUUUAGUGCACAGGUGAUAAAAUUACAUCAUAUUUCAGGUAAAACAAUCGCAUGAUUUUCUUGAGUUCCUUAAACCAUAUUUUGGAAGAAAUAUGAAGUCUAAUAAUAAAUCAUCCAGACACAGCAGGAACAGUGUCAGCAAUUUUAGUGAAAUUUGUGUCUCCUGAGUUUACUAAUGAAAAUGAAUGGGGCAACUUCCACGUUCCCACAAACUCUUCAAAACCUUUGCUACUUCUCAAUAGACAGCAGUUGUAAUUGAAUAGAACACUGAGAUUGAUGUUAGGAUUAAAGGUUAUGAGCUAUGAAGACAGCUGAAUACUUAGUUCCAUAAAGUCUAUGAAAGGCAGGGUAUUGAAAUGGAAUUUUAUGGGCUUUUUUAUUUGUUGCUUUGUUUCUUAUGUGUCCAAGGCUAAUUAUACUAAUUAGAUCAGAAGGCAUGAAUGGGUACUACAGAAAAAGCCAUUCAGGAAAAAAAUAAUAAAGCAUCAGAAAUUGCUGUGUUAGUUGAUAACUAGAGGGAGGCUGAAGAGCAGCUUCAUCCUUCACCAAGCCCUGUACAUAUAUUACAUGGAAAUGGAAUUCUUCUGAGCAGAGGUCAUAUUCUGUGCUCAUGCUGUUACAUUAUCUUGGUCAUUGAAUUUGAGGGCUAAAAAUGAAACAGAGUAAGCUCAUAAAGAAAUAAAAUGUAGUAUAUAAAGGAUCAGGAAAUCCAUAAAGUAGAACCAAAAUCAUAUCUGAGUUGAAUAUUUGUCAAAAAUUUCUGUGAGAUGUCAGCAGUCCUAUAAAAGUAAAAAAUUUAUUUGCCACAUCACCUCCAAAAGCAAUCAUAAAAGCAUCUAGCUGCAUAACAAGUGCAUAUGUUAUCUGGAGAAUUAUUCUGUUAUGGCCCAAGCAGUGUCAUCAUACCAUUGUCACACAAUGGCAUUGUGGCCUCGUUGAAUGGCACAGCAGAGAGCAUUGUUGAGAGAGAAAUUGCCGGCUCCGAUUCACUGGCUGCUUCUUCAGAAAAUUCACUCGUUCAUUCGGCAAGUGUCUCUUUAGCGCCUCCCUCAUCCCAACACUGUGUUAGCUCACUGGAGGGAACAGUGCAAAGAUGCGGGUCAUUAUGAGAAGUUAUGAGAACUCAGGGAACCCUUUAUCCAGUUCUUGAAGGAUUAAGGAAGUCUUUGGGAAGGAAGAAAACUAAAAGCUUGGAAUGUGAUCAAGUGGUUGAGUAGGCAUUAGCGAAUGAGGUGAUGUAGGCAAAGAGAGUAGCAUAUUUAAAACCUAAAGGCAGAAAAUGGUAGGUUCAGGUAGAGUUUAUGUUUCUGCUGAGAGGGAAUUGUGUCAAAAGAGGAUUCUAAAGGAAUGGCAGAAACGUGCUUAUGAAGGACUUUCUUAGCCACAUUCAGGAGUAUUGGCUGCAUCCUGAGGCAGAGAGAAGCCAAGACUGGUAUUAAACUGGCAGAAAUGUGUGACUUAUUCAAGGAGUUACUCUUGAGAAGCCACUGAUCAUAGUGGAGAAAGUACAUUGGAGACAUAAAGAAUUUGCUUUUUAACCCCAACAGGACUUCUCAAAUUACUAUAGAAUAUACUGUUAUACUUAAAUGCGUGUGUCAAAGUGCAAUCUUCAACCAAAAUGGGAAUUUGUUUCUUGAAGAUGUUUUGAAGAAGCUGGUAGGUGAGUGAGAUGGACCGUAAUGCACUACCUUAAAAAUCCCAAGGAGGGCCGGGCGUGGUGGCUCACUCCUGGAAUCCCAGCACUCCGGGAGGCCGAGGCGGGUGGAUUACUGAGGUCAGGAGUUGGAGACCAGCCUGGCCAACACGGUGAAACCGCGUCUCUACUAAAAAUACAAAAAAUUAACUGGGCCUGGCCAACAUAGUGAAAUCCCGUCUCUACUAAAAAUACAAAAAAUUAACUGGGUGUGGUGGUGUGCGCUUGUAAUCCCAGCUAUUCGGGAGGCUGAGGCAGGAGAAUUGCUUGAACCCAGGAGUCAGAGAUUACAGUGAGCCAAGAUCAGGCCACUGCACUCCAGCCUGGACAACAAGGGCGAAACUCCGUCUCAAACAAACAAACAAACAAACAAAAAACACAAAACAAACAAACAAAACACCAAGUAAGCAGCAAUCUGGUCUGAGAGGCGGAAAAUCUGUAUUUUUUGGAAUAUUCCUCAUGUGUUAAUAUAUGAUAUUGUUGUUAACUUAGUGUGAUGUUUACUGAAAGUCGCAAGUCAGCAAUAAUAGAUAUGUAUUGAGUGGCCACUAUGUGUCAGGCACUGAUCUAAGCACUUGGGAAGCAUCCACAAAUACCCCUUUCCUCCCGGAACUUAUUAAUACAGUCAAAUAGAAAGCAUUUGUUUCCAAUAAAUAAAAAUGAUAAGUGUAACAAAUCAGUAAAUGAUGUGAUAAUUAGGUGAUACGCACAUACCUGCUAUGGAAGAAGGAAAACAAUAGAACAUGAUCAGAGCAAUUGGGAAUUUAAAAUGAGUUGUAAUUUUAAACAGGAUGGACAGGUUGAGUCUUAUUGGGACGGUGCAUUUAAGUGACAAUGUGAAGCAGGUGAAGGAAUUUGCCAAGUUGAUCUGGGGAAAGGAAGUCCUGGACAGUGAGAAGAGCCAGUGCAAAGCCAGUGCAGAGAGCGUGCCAACUUUGUCCGAGGAGAUUGAGGGGCAGGGCAGCGGCAGAUUAAGUUAAACUGGUAAUGGGGAGGGAAAGCUCCUCAGGCCUUGUGUGGACUUUGUCUUUUAUUCUGAGUGAUGCUGAGAGACAGCAUCUGAUUUAGGUCUUACCUGGAUCACUCUGACUGCUAUGUUUAGAACAGUCUUUAGGGCAAAAAGGAGGCAGAAGUCACUUUGGUGGAAGUGAAUGAGGUCAGAUGUGGGAUAUGUGCAAACUUCAGGUAACUAGGAUUCCAUAAUGGAUUGGAUGUGGGGAGUGAGAAAAGCAGAGUCUAAUAUGACUUCCAGGGAGUUUGGUCUCAGGAAUAGAGAAGAAUGAACUUGUCAUCAACUGAAAUGGGGAAGGCUGCAGGUUUAGGGGGAAAGUCAGGACUGGGUUUUGGACACCUAACACGUAAGGUUUCUGUUUAGACAUUCCAGUGGAGAUGUCAAAUAGGCAGUUGAUUGUAUAAAACUUUGAGAAAAAAUUGUAUGUGGAGAUGUGCAUUUGUGUUACUGUGAUACAGAGAAUAACAGAAGCCAUUAAUCUAAACAGAUUAUUAAUUUGUACAUAAAUUAAA